AAUCCUAAAUAGUGCUCGAAGUAGCUUUCAGCCCGGGCUGAAAUGUACUGCAGCUGUCGUGUUUAUCUGCAUUAGUCCCCUUCAAGAAGGUGAUUCGGGCUAUCUCCCUGCGUGAGCGUCCCCGGGUAGGCAGAUGCCGCGUGUCCUCCUGCCGUGCCCGGGGUGGCCUGAUACCUCUCCUGGGGUGCAGGUGCAGCGGUCUGAGCGGUAACGCUCACUGACUGCAGUGAACCAAGCCAUCGGUAGAAAUCUGUCAUAAAGCAGUGUAAGUAGUUGUUUAACAACAACAACAGCGUUCUGCAGUGUCUGGGUGCGGCACCUUUCAGGCUAAGGAGCAUUUUGUUGUAAUUGAGCUCCAAAUCUGUGAGGAAACCAGGUGAAAGUUUCCCUGCUUGACGGUAAAUGUUUUUUUUAAUGUGCCUUUAAAUUGUAAGGAGAAGGAGGUGGGCUUGCUGAUGAAUAUUUGGUUUGUUACGCAAACUUUGGAACUUACUAGGCUGUUGUUUUAAUGUGGUAGUGGUGGUGGAGAGCUCAACCCUGAGAGUUACUCGGAGCCAGUGGGAUUGAGGUACUUCACUGAAGAUGCUCACUAAGCCAGAACUGGAGCUUCUUAGUCCUGAGUCCUGCAGGGAAGUGCAGUUGUGUUAGAACCGGAGUUUUCUCUUUUAAGGGGAGCAAGUGUCUAUUUAAAAUGUUAAAAGAAAAUGUUGCUUUCAAAGCUUUAGCCAUGUGUACAACAACACUGAAGAAGCGGCAGCUUCUGUGCUGCUUAUUUCGGUAAUCACUGUUGCACACAGUCAAAUUCCAAAGCAGAAAAAGUAUGCAAGCUUGCCAGCAGUUGGUGGCAGGAAAAUCAGUAGGAGAGCAAUAUGGAAAGAGAUAAACAGGGAUUUUUGUUAUUAGUGAGGUGACACUAUUAGCCAUCUAUGCUGCUGCAGUCUCUUGAGUUUUGGUAGGCACUUGCACAGUCCCGUUGUCUUUGAUGUGUUUGUUUCAUUGUGCAAUGCGUAUGCCUUUAGGAAUCCUUUUCUUUAAAAAUCUUUUAUCUCUUUGCUGUGUAUGUGUGCUGUCUACAACGUUUCAUCCACACAUGACUGUUCACCCUGUAUAAUAAUCUCAAAGUACUAUAGAAAUGAAGGUAGCUAUCACUGACUGUGUUUUACAGAUGGGAAAAUUGUUAAGUCAUGUAAGCUAUAUAUAAUUUCCGAGACCCAGGAGUGCUUCCCUUCUCUGUGCCUAGCUAUAUACCAUGGCAAUGCCCCAAAGCAAUUUCAGAAGAAGACUGCAUUCUCCUUACGGUGUCUUUUCUCAGUGAGAAUGAAAGCUGUCCAUAAAGGAGGGAAGAGAAUUGCUCUGCAGCCUGGCAAUGGUCCUGACUUGGAUGAUCUAGGCUCCAAGUUCCUGAAGGAUCUGCUCUGCCAUUUAGAUACAUCAUGGACAAGUCAGAGCAACAUCCAAGACUACAGAGACCUUCUGUAUUUUGACCCAUCAGCCUUACUGUUACCUGAAUUAGUGUAUGAACAGGCUGAAUACAAACUCUUGAAAUUUGUGUGAUAUCUGAAGAUCUUUGGCCCACUGUGUUUUGUAGCUGUGCUACUAGUAACACACUAUUGUUAAUAUUCUACAUAUGCUAAUUGGUUUCAAAGAGGAAGAAGAGUGGAAAUGGAAAGCAAUUGUGAAUUAGAGGCAGAAAUAAGAGUAAAUCAAGGGGGCAGAAAAGGAUAGAGGAGAGGAAAAGAGAAAAAGAGGAAGGGAGGACACGUCUGUCUGUCUAGACAAGAGGCAAAGUGAAUUGGUAAAUUCUCAUUGUACAGCUGCCUCCAUAUUUAUGAGCUUAUGCUUGAAUACAGACUAUCUGCAUUGACCACAUCUGGUUGGAGGUACAUAUUUGUUUAAGCCCAGCAUAUGAAACACUUUUUUUUUCUUAUCCAGACUGAGUUGCUUCUAGGUUUGUGGUAGCCACAUAAAACAUUUGUUGGUGUAUAUGUUGAGAACAUGCUGGAAAAAUCAGUGUCAAAAAAAUCGUUUCUCCAAGACAAAAAAAAAAUUCAUGCAGAAAAGGGACCUUUGGAAACAGAUAUACAGCAGAAGUCUUCACUUUUCAUUGGAAAUACAUGAGAAAAUCAAAUGUAAAGGAAAAAAAUGGGGAGGAAAAAUAGGAUAAAAGUAGGAUAGGAUGCAAAUAGGAUAGGAUGGAAAAGAUAGGAUGCAAUAAAUUGAAUAAAAAAAAGAAAAAUGUUUUAAGGCAAGCACUUCCUGGCAGACAAAUAGCUUAAUAUACAUGUAAGAUAUAUUCUUUAUGUAACUGUAUUGUACACAAAAUGGGGGAGCUAAAUUUUUCAGUAUACAUGUGAGCUCUGGUUGUCAUUUUGUUUUGUUUUUAAAGAGUUCAUACCAUACUUCAGUGUGUUUCUGAGUCAGGCUUUGACAAAAAAAUUGCAGCCUAAUUUUAUAUAGUGAUGGGAAACAUAAGAUGAUGCCUUUUAAUCAGUUUUAAUGGAACAAAGGUAUUUGCAGUCGCUUGGGAUUCACGGACAUUAUAAAUACAGUACAGAGUUAUUCUAAAGCAUAGUGCUCUAAAAUGGGAUUACUUGAUAAAAGAAGAAGUAUUUUUGCAGUGUUUUUUGGUCACAAUCACAUGUUAAAAAUUCAGGGAAGCUGAAGGGAAGGUUACCAUCUUUCUUGCUAGUAGCAUCUCAAGGGAGAAGCUGCUGCAAAAUAAAUGAUCUGUUCUUACAUGGGGUACACUCAGGACCUGGGUUUUUUUAUUAUUAUUAUUUUAUCUGUUUGGAUAGCUGUUGUCCCUGGGAACUCUGCUUACAGCCUUGACUCAUAGUGUGCUCUCUGCUUAUUAGUACGCAAUGCAAGUUUGGCUCCAGAUGCGAAGGUAAGGCUAACAGCUGCAUGGCCAGCACACUGGGCACUACCAGAGUAAGGAGGGAAUACUGUUUUAGCAAGAGCAGUGAUUGGAGGUCGUUAGUAGCCUCACUGUUGUCAAAAUGUUCUGUAGCAUUACGUCUGAGGAGAGUUCAGAGGAGAAUUUUGAGAGGUUGCUAUAUACAUUCUGUGGAUGUUUAUGGACGAUUGAUUUAAACGUUGUGGGCCAAUGUUAGAAAGGGUCUGACAUGAAAGUGUAAUAACCUUGAGACUAGUACUGUGGGCUGACUGGAGGGGAACAUCUCUAGAAAAUUGGGGAUGCUGUGUUGUGUAAUGAUAAUGUAACUUCUUAUCAUAGCUGAAAAAUUAAAUUUCCAGCUUUAUAGCAGAAGGUGGCGCCAGUUCCACAUCUUCCUGUAAGACUGGGAUGUGACUGGGCAGUUCAGUUCUCCAUUUCUUCCUUUUAAGUGUGAAAGUGUGUACUUCUGCACAGUCACACUCACUUGCCUGUAUUUUAAUGGCUGAAGUCUCUGUUCCUAGUCCUGUGUUAUUCUUCAUCCUACAGGUCAAAAAAAAAAGAAAAAAAUUAUCACAAGUUUAACAUUUAAGAAGUGUUUCAGUUAUAUAUUUCCAUUUCAGGGAAGGAGAAAGGAGUAUAUCUUUGACAGUUUGAUGUUUUAAAGUGGUAGCUCUUUGAAGCGGAUGAGUAAUUUUUAAAGUUCAGGGAUCUGUCUACUAAAGAAAGGGAAAUACUAGGAUAUGAAAACAGGUACAUAUUAUGAAUUCAGUUGUUAUAUUCCUUUACAGUUCAUCUAAUGACACUGUAAUUGCUUACAUGUAUAUCUGUCUCCUUACAUAUUGUGCUUAUGUGUUUUUGCCUAGUAUGUGUUUAUGUACAAAUAAAUUGAAUAUGAAAACUGAAAAUGAUUCUAGGGGCAGUCUUUCACAAUAACUAUGGUUAUUCUAGUAUAAGUAUUUUGUUAUGUGGAUAUUUUUAAUGGCAUUCAGCUUGCACACAGCAUUUUUAUAGGACAAUCAAUUGCAAACAGUGAGGCUAAAAAUGAUGAAAGUGUAAUUGAAAAUAAUUCAAUUGCAAUUUGGAAAUGUAUAAAAUCCCCUUAAGUCUCCAUCUGCUUUUCCAUAAAACAUUAUAGGGUUAAGAAACAGUGACUCCACAAACAGAGAUCUUAUAUGGUCAUUCUGUGCCAAGAAGUCCCAGCCAUUAUCAGCGUAUUAUAAAAAAGGCGUCAGUGGCACUUUUAUAUCAAGGAGUUCAUAAUUGUUUCCUGGGAAAGACACAAUGAUGUAGAACACAGGAGAAGCACGUAGUGCUUAGGCUUAGUUGCCUGAAUUUGCUUUGAAUGCUCUUACUGGUUUUGCCUAGUAGGAAAGAUCUGUAGGCCUGAGAUUUCUGUUGUGAUAUUGUUAAAUACAAAUAACUCUAAUACUCUAGGAAUGAAAACAGAUAAUGGAGAAGUCUAGACAAGAAUAUCAGCAGUAGGAGAAGAAUCUAGCCAGACUUAAGGACUUGGAAAGAGAAGAAUAUAAAAAGAGUGAUGUGAAAUGAUAAUCAUUUAAGUGACUCAGAGCGUUUUAUGUGAAAUACGGUAACAAAAGAAAAAAUACUAAUGUGUAGCUGAAAGAAGCAAAGUGCAUCUGUCCUGCCAUUUUAAAUGCUAGCCAUUGGUUUUAUGUGUUUUUAGCGGGCUGCAAUUUCAAGCAAGUUAUUCCAAUCUCUGGAGAUGUGUUAGACCACUACAUUUUCCAGAUAAUUUUGUAAUUUGUAAAGUAUAAUCAGACCUACUGUGACAGCUAUUAAAAGGUGGUCUUGUUUUCUUCUGAUGUCUGUCUGCCCAUCUCUAGGACUGCUCCAAGGCUCUUCCCAGGCCUCUGAGGACCACGUUGGUACGUCUGGUAAAGUGUGGUUAGUCCAGUGCUCUUCCUAAGGCCUCCAGGCAUCAGUCAGAUGCCUCUGACCUGCUCUUCCAGGAGCUGUCUAAGGCUUCUCUCAGAGCCUCUUCAAGGCAGGCUUCUUAGCCCAUUCAUAUAUUUCUUUGUUGUCUUUGUAAAAUAAAACUGGAGAGAACAGAAACUUUAAUUUAAAAAUAAUUUUUACCUUGGGAUUUUCAGAAUAGCCUGUGGGAAUUCAAUUCACACUGUUAACAAGGUAAUGAAGUGCUAUUCUAAUUAGCCUGAGAAGAAAUGGCUCUAAGAUUUAUGUCUAAAUUUAAUACUACAUCCAAGGACUCAAAGUAGCAUUUGCAAGAUACAUUUGUCAAAUGACUUGGCAAUCCUGUGUCUAAUUUGCAAACAGUUGCUGUAGGUAUUGUACUAGUCAAAUGAUGGUGUAACCAAACGUUUUCACUGUCAUGAGUAAGCGUGACUCCUCCUUAUACAAUGAAUCUGAAUCUUCUCUCCUGUAGGCAACAGCUCUGUUCCACUUUAAUAUUGUAGUGUUUUCUGAGCCAAAUUCUGGUCUUUUAAGGAGAAAUGCAGUAAUUAAAAUAUGUAUAUUUUUGCAAAGCUAGUUAUAUUUAAAAAAAAGUUGUUAUUUUAGGAAAUGAACCUUAUGUGUUAAACCUUUAUUUUCUUUGUAGCAAAGGUACUACCAUGCCUUUUCUUUCCCUGUACUUUUGAAAAAGCAGUUAAGAAGAACACAAGAUUACUAUUUUUAUUAUCUAUAAUGUGAUAGAAUAUUUGUUUUGUUGCAUGUCUACUUCCAUACCCCAGAGUUAUGAGUGGAUUUUUUUUUUCUUGCACACUUGUCUGUAGGCAAGAAGGAAGAACAAGUAAGGAUUGGCCCAGAACAAUAGCCUCAAGCUAAUGUCGCAGGUUACGUCGUUCUUCACUAUUCUUCCCUGUCUCCCAGUCUAACGGGAAGCACUUCUUUUUUGAGUCUCUCUAAAGAGAUGUAUUCUAGAUAGUGGCUGACUCUGAGAGAAGAUAAGAUUCCAGGCUUGCUUUAUAUUUUGAAAUAAAAUGGAAGACAUUGUUCCAGCCCUGGGAAAUUGAUGGUCUAUAGAAAACUUUGACUACCUACCUAUUUGAUGUGUGCUUCCCAAGAUGCUGGUUGUAGAACAAAUAUCCUAACCUGUUGACCUGCUGUAUAGGCUCUAGCCACUUGCGUAUUGUAACAGGUCUGCUGUUCUGUUUGUGUUGAAUUGAGUCUUUUUCUAAUGGGACACAGAAGUGCAGCUACUCACAAAUCUAUUUAAAUGGUAUCUUUUGCCUCAGCUUAGAGUCGGUCACUCUGCAACCAUACAGCAGUUCAAAAGGACCCAAUCUCAUGAUGUGGGUUCUGCUGGUUGUUAAAAAAUGAAGCUGUGAAAUGUGACUCAGGUGGGAGAGGAUCCUUAUUCAGCUCUCUAAGUCACUGAGGAUAGGCUGCAAAAUGGUUUAAUGGAAUCUUAAAAAUCAAUCAGCUAGCAAACUGCCCUGUAUUUGAUAGCAUGAUACUACAACUUUGCAUUUCUCUCAGAAUCUCCUGUUAUUUCUGAAAUAUGAAUCUCCUAUAGACAUAAUAUUUCCUAGAGAAAAUUCAGUAAAAUUUCUAAGGCAUUGUGAAUUGAGUAGAUUGAUAGGACCAAUGUAUAGUUUCUGGUUCCACUACCAUUAGAAGACUUUUUUUCUGCUGUGAUUGUAAUAACAUUCUUAGUAAUCCUAUGAGAGCCAUGUCUUACUUUUGAGAAUGUGUUCUGUAGACAAUGACACAAGAAUAGCUUUUUCUCUCUUUUGUAUACUGUGUUCUCUAGUAUAUAACGCUGUUCCAGCUCCUCAUUGUGUAGUAACAUGCAUUUGGUGAAAGUGAAUGCUUGAUUGAUUUCCUUCUUCAAAUGAGAAAGUGGCACACUAUUUCCUAUUAGUCAAGGUACUGAUUGUUGGUUUAUAUCCUCAGUAAAUUUAUGCAUAUCUAGAUUUUUUUUAAAGGUAUCAGUUUUGGGGAAUCAGAUAUUUGCCAACAGUGUGUAUAAACAGAUGUAUUUACCACAAGCGACCUCAUAAUUUGAAGAGGAAAAUAACAUGUGUUCACUGACAUUAUGCCAGCAUUAAAACAUCACAGAGGAUUUAAGUAACCAGUGUUAAUCCCUCAUAACGAAUGAAAUGAUGUUUGGAAUGAUGGAAGUAGAAGCAUCAGUUUCAAGUUGUUUCCCAAAAAUAAAUUACCAGCCAUUUUGUCAGCGUAAGUUGAGUUUGUAGGAGAUAGGCAUGACAUUUUUCUUGUUAUGUUGGCCAAAAGGAGUGUAGAAGUGUAUCUGAUAGCCCACCCACAUCUGAAUUAAAGGGAUGUAAACCUAAAAAAAAGAAAAAAAAAAAAACACCCACCCCAAGAUGGGAGACACUGAUGAGAAGGAGGGAGAGGAUGAGAAACGGGGAAGAGGUGAGCCUCUGGAAAGCUCGAACUGCACACCGUAUGUGUCUAACAUUAGGUAACAUGUUUUUUAGAGGUGCUAAACAUCUGCAAUCCCCACUAACUUCAUGAAUUAGACAUUGUUUCACAAAUGUGCUCAGUAUCUGUAGCUACAUUCCCAUCUAAAAAUAUGUGAAUGCCAGAUCCAUUAGUUCAACACCUAACAUCAUCUAUAAUAUUAGAGGAAAAAAUAACAGGGAACUAAUUUUUUAUCUGUACUAUGCUAUCAUCUAUGACUGAUCUGUCACACUGUGGGACAUACUGGUCUGUAGCAAAGCCCCUAGUCUGUAGUUCAAAGCCACUAGACCUGUUUCUAAAUGUUUUGUAGGGUGAUGCUUAGAGUUAGAUUCUCGGACUAGAGAAAGGAUGUGUCAUUUUCAAGAGAAGGUUUUAUUUUCCAUAGAUGUAUGAGAUGUUAACUAUUUGUCUCAACUUUGUGGGAGGGACAGUGUGCGCAGAUAGUGCAACUGAAGUAAAACUCAAACUUCUUGGUCAGUGACUCACUUGAUUAGCCAGGCUUCUAUGCGUAAUGCAGAGUUGUGAUACUGAUGUUACAAAGUGACUCUUCUAAAACCUUCCCACAAAAUAUAAUCAUGCUCUUACUGUGUAGUCUGACAGCACCUUUCUUCCAUCCAAGGAGCUCAGCACAUUUCACAACCAUUAAGUCUGCCAAUGAAAUAGUUGAAUAUCAUUAUCCCGUUUUUCUCGAUGAGGUGUGUCGAGAUUAAUGACUUGCUAGAGUCACACAGAAAACUGGCAACAGAGCAAGGAGUAGACUGCAGCUCUCCCAGCUCUCCUGCCUAUGCUUUUGCUUGUAAAAUGACUCUUUCUACUCAAAAGAAUAACUACUCCUGGUUUUGGAACAGCAGUACUAGCGCAUGAACUGAAAAGAUGGAUUACUGAGUCAGUAAAAUAAAAAACUAAAGCAGCUCUGCUUCUCUUCUACUAAUACAAUAGAGGAACUGAGCUAUUACUGGUAUAGGAAUGCUUCUAAGUAAAGGCAGUUGGUAAAGAGUGCAAGAGUCUAAGACCUGAAUUUGAAGAAGGUGAGGGGAGGGAAGGGGAUUUCAGCACACUGAUGCAGCCCUCACCUCCAGAAGUCUCGCAUGACCAGCAGUGAAGAAACAGCUGUCAAUCUGAGCUUCAGUCCUGAACAUCCUGAUUCAUUCCUCGUCGUCUCGAUUUGGCGAUGUCUAAAUCUCAGCAUUUCUGUUCAAACUGAGAAAAUGUGUUGUGUUCAUUGUCCUCUGUGCAAGUCACAUGUGAUGACUGGCGUUUUCUCUUUCCCGAUACGGCGAAGAAGGUACAGCUCAGUUUUGUGGCCCAUCCGGAAAUGGUAUCCAUGCUCACUCCUUUGCUAUAUGUGAUGAGGCCAGUGUUUAACUGCUGACUCAUGGGCUUGCAUCCAGUUUCCCAAUUUACAGUUUAAUGCAGAUGAAAGAAUAACGUUUCUCUCCUGCCCUGGCCAGCACAGCUAACCUCUCAUGGGCUGACCAGUCUUCUACAAUCUACAGUGAUUGUUUUGUUAUUGACCUCAUCUUUUGACUUCAGAGUAGUUCACAGUAUAUAUCGUCUGUCAUGUUGAUAAAACCUUACGAAAAGACAUUGGUGUUCUGUGGAAAAACUGUUCUCUAAAAUGCAUGUUGAAUGUAGAUUAACUUAAUGCAAGUUAAAAGUAAAUUGGAUUACUAAAGGUAUUUGUGCUAUUGGAA